UACGUAGGGUGCAAGCGUUGUCCGGAAUUAUUGGGCGUAAAGAGCUCGUAGGCGGCUUGUCGCGUCUGCUGUGAAAGCCCAGGGCUCCAACCCUGGAAGUGCACUCGAUACUGCGAGGCUAGAGUCCCGGAGAGGAUGGUGGAACUCUCGGUGUAGAGGUGAAAUUCGUAGAUAUCGAGAAGAACACCGGUGGCGAAGGCGGCCAUCUGGACGGUGACUGACGCUGAGACGCGAAAGCGUGGGGAGCAAACAGG
rnacentral:rRNA from 1 species